AUUGAAUAGAGACUCUUCUAAGAACAAUCAGGCUGGGUGCAGAAUGGAGGACUUUCUAGACCCGUGGAACAGGGGUGAGCAGAAAACAGAUCAUGCUUAGAGCAACACAUAACAUAAGAGUGGCGGAUAUUUCACUGUUUUGUAUACAACGGAGAUUUUUCAAAUCACUGACACUGUAGUAGGAUGGUUUAAUAAAUUCACAAUGUUGUAACCAUUGAUUCCACAUGGAAUGGCUUGCACGUGCUCCCCACAUGGAGGUCACAGAAGUAAAUAAAAUCUUCCUGCUGCACUGUCCAAGAGUCAUCUGAGGAUAUGCACCACACUGUUCGUCAUUGUCCCAGCGAAGUACCCUGUGGGCAGAGCCGGCAUACUACUUCUUGGUUUUAAUUGCACAUUACCAGCUAGCUAGUGCGAACAUUCAAUGACAAUAUGCAUCCAAAGACUAUAAAACAUGACAAACAAUAAAAAAGUAGACUUUUCUUCUAGGUAGUGAGUCAUAUCUUUUCAUAUUAGUGUGGAAAACACCUGCAUCCAGUUUUUAUUUCCCUGUUCAAUGCUUAAUUUGAAACUAAGCAGUUAAUUUUAUGGUCUGUUGCCGUUUGUAGUGUUCAGCUUCAAAAAUAUAGUCUUACCUUGUUAUUUGUUUAGAAGUAUUUAAAAAGUAGAAACUCCAUCUUUUCCCAAGGAAAAAAGAUAGCAAUACUUCUUAGCAAUGUUUGUGGCAAUCUAAGGUCCAAGAGACUGAAAUCAUAUAUCAAUGUAGGCUCAUACCAACACAUUUCUAGUAGGAAGAAUAUAGAUACAAAAUAAGGAACUAAACAGCACUGGAAGAUACUACUGUUAUGGAAUUUUCUAGUUAUUCAGACAUUUGCUAUAAAAUUUCCAUCUCCUCCCUGUCAGACUAAAAUAAACCUGGUUUUUGGAGCAUGAUUUUUAAUCUAAAUAAUUUUCUUGAUCCACUUCACAAAGCAGCCUUGUGAACAAUUCUUUUGGCAUAAUGGAUAUGACACACUGAGAUGUAGGGUAGGAAAAAUAGCCAAAGACAAAAAAGAAGGGGAUGAGAGCUUUUGAAGUAUUCAUCUUCUGUAAUAACACACACUGGAAUGCUUGAAAAUACUUCGUUCAAGAGCCCUAAAAAAUAUGCAUGGUAUCAUAAAUUAAGCUUCCUGUGAAACAAAUAAUAUUCUUUAAGAAAAAAUAGCUUGUACUAAUAAACAUGAGCACCAGU